CCAUGUCCGAAAGGGAAAGAACCCAGAUCAUCAGCUAAGGUCCCCAAAUGUGUGUUAAGUUGACAAAACGCGGUCAGAUUGCAUAGACAGCUAGGAUGUUGGCUUGGAAGCAGCCAUUCAUUUAAAGAGUGCGUAACAGCUCACUAGUCGAGCGAUUUGGCAUGGAUAAUAAUCGGGCAUAAAUACACUACCGAAGCUAUGAACUUGAAUUUAUUCAAGUGGUAGGGGAGCAUUCUAAUUGCAUUGAAGGUGAACUGUGAGGUUUGCUGGAGCGGUUAGAAAAGAAAAUGUAGGCAUAAGUAACGUUAAGGAGGGCGAGAACCCCUCCCACCGCAAGACUAAGGUUUCCCCGGCUAUGCUAGUCAUCCGGGGGUUAGUCAGGACCUAAGGCGUACCCUAACGGGGAAGUCGAUGGACAACGGGUUAAUAUUCCCGUACUUGCUUAAACAGUGAUGGAGAGACGGAGUAGUGAAAGUACCGCGUACUGACGGAAUAGUACGUUGAAAACCGUAGGUAUUGGAGAGGCAGGUAAAUCCACCUUUCUAGCUGAAAGUUGAUAGUACCAAGAGCCUUCGGGCAAUUGGAUAGUGUACCUAAUCAGACUUCCAAGAAAAACUUCUAAACUUAUGUUUAAGCAACCUGUACCGCAAACCGACACAGGUAGUCGAGGAGAGUAUCCUAAGGUGGACGAGUGAUUCAUGGCUAAGGAACUAGGCAAAAUAGACCCGUAACUUCGGGAGAAGGGUCCCCUGUAGUAAUACAGGGCGCAGUGAAAAGGCCCAGGCGACUGUUUAUCAAAAACACAGGACUCUGCUAAGUUGAAAGACGAUGUAUAGGGUCUGACACCUGCCCGGUGCCGGAAGGUUAAGUGGAGAUGUUAGUCUUCGGAUGAAGCAUUGAAAUGAAGCCCCGGUAAACGGCGGCCGUAACUAUAACGGUCCUAAGGUAGCGAAAUUCCUUGUCGGGUAAGUUCCGACCUGCACGAAUGGUGUAACGAUCUGGGCACUGUCUCGGCCAUGAGCUCGGUGAAAUUGUAGUAACGGUGAAGAUGCCGUUUACCCGCAGUGGGACGGAAAGACCCCGUGAACCUUCACUAUAGCUUUACAUUGACUUUGGGUAAACGAUGUGUAGGAUAGGUGGGAGACUAUGAAGCUGGCACGCUAGUGUUGGUGGAGUCAACCUUGAAAUACCACCCUUCGUUUAUCUGGAGCCUAAUCCCGUAAGGGAGACAGUGUAUGGUGGGUAGUUUGACUGGGGUGGUCGCCUCCAAAAGAGUAACGGAGGCUUUCAAAGGUUCCCUCAGCACGCUUGGUAACCGUGCGUAGAGUGCAAUAGCAUAAGGGAGCUUGACUGUGAGACUGACAAGUCGAGCAGGUACGAAAGUAGGAUAUAGUGAUCCGGUAGUUCCGUAUGGAAGGGCUAUCGCUCAAAGGAUAAAAGGUACUCCGGGGAUAACAGGCUGAUCACUCCCAAGAGCUCACAUCGACGGAGUGGUUUGGCACCUCGAUGUCGGCUCGUCACAUCCUGGGGCUGGAGAAGGUCCCAAGGGUUGGGCUGUUCGCCCAUUAAAGUGGCACGCGAGCUGGGUUCAGAACGUCGCGAGACAGUUCGGUCCCUAUCUACUGUGGGCGUUGGAAAUUUGCGAGGACCUGACUCUAGUACGAGAGGACCGAGUUGGACAAACCUCUGGUGUACCAGUUGUUCCGCCAGGAGCACCGCUGGGUAGCUAUGUUUGGAAGAGAUAAGCACUGAAAGCAUCUAAGUGCGAAACUCGCCUCAAGAUGAGAUUUCCUUUAAGGGUCGUUGGAGAUGACGACGUUGAUAGGCUGCAGGUGUAAAGUCAGUGAUGGCAAAGCCGAGCAGUACUAAUUACCCUAUGUCUUCCCUUC
rnacentral:rRNA from 1 species